rnacentral:rRNA from 1 species
UACGUAGGGUGCGAGCGUUAAUCGGAAUUACUGGGCGUAAAGCGUGCGCAGGCGGCUUUGCAAGACAGAUGUGAAAUCCCCGGGCUUAACCUGGGAACUGCAUUUGUGACUGCAUGGCUGGAGUGCGGCAGAGGGGGCUGGAAUUCCGCGUGUAGCAGUGAAAUGCGUAGAUAUGCGGAGGAACACCGAUGGCGAAGGCAAUCCCCUGGGCCUGCACUGACGCUCAUGCACGAAAGCGUGGGGAGCAAACAGG